AUGUUGGGCUAUAUAAAGGUAACUUAAAACCCUAAAAGCUCACGCCUCAUUCCCUCGCUUCCCUCGCUUCUCUCUCUUUCCUUUUUCACUCUCAUAUUUUGGUUGGAAGCCUAAAAACCGAAAGCUCCUAUGUAAGACGGUAAGAAGAGAUCCAACAAAUGCAUGCAUCAAAAAUCAAUGGCGGCGGCUAAUCAAAUAAACUAUUUUAUCUUUCACAGCAAAAACAUUACAGGAAGCUCCUUUCUCAGCCGACAUAUAAUGAAUGAAACAUCAUUGUGGAGGAAGGAGAGGAAGAAAACAAGAGGUUUUGCAUUUUGAAUUUUGGAUGGAGUGCAAUAAAGAAGAGGCCGUAAGGGCCAAGAAAAUUGCUGAAAAGAGAAUGCAAAACAAAGAUUUCAACGCUUAAGGCUCAGCAGCUAUAUCCUGAUUUAUAGAAUAUUAAUCAAAUGUUUAUUGUCUAUGAUGUGCAUUGCUGCGUUUAUCAGAAAUUCUUUGGCAAUGAGAUGGACUGCUAUAAAAUUCUUCAAAUUGAGCUGACGGCUGAUUGGGAUUCUUCCUACAGAACAGAAACUCAUGACAGAAUUCCAAUGCCAAGUGAUUUAUUGGAAACGAAAAAAAAAAACAUAAUGAAAAGUUUGUUUAAUCUAAUUCCCUUCCUUCUGAAUAAACUAGUUCUUUCUUUGUUAGCUUUUUAUUUUCAGACAAUUUCUCAGAUUUCUGAAUAAACUUGGUUGAGCCAGCUAUCUUAAACUUGUAAUAGCACAAUUUACCUAAUUCAGCAUCUCAAUGGUACAUUAAUGUGUUCAUGUUGUUAGCCUUUGGUGAGGAAAGUAA